GUCCCUUUACCAUUCCGCCUUGCUACUACUACACCAUUCGGCAAUGCGGCCGGUCAAUUGAGACCAUCAGUGAAUUCUCCUUUCCCUCACUCUCCAGUUAGUCUUUCCUGAAUUCAAGUCUUAAGUCUCGAUUCUCUUGUGUUUUCUUGGCUGAAACAUGUUACUGCUCGAAUAUCUAGUUGAGGGUCUCGAGUGACAAAGUUUAGACUACAGCCGAAAGUUUCUUUGUUUUUUUGGUGGCCGAUUGUAUGGCCGUUGAACAAAUGAUCAUCAUACCCCCAUUGCCCUUGGUAGUCUCCCUGAAGCGGAUUUUGGUCAUUUAUUUCGGUAGGAAGUGGACAGGUCAUGGAAUAAUAAUCUUUCUAUGGUCCAUGGCUUGAGUCAUGCUUCGAUGUCAUGCGAUGAUAGUCACGACGCUCUAGUCUUGUGGUGACUUGAUUUUUCUAAUUUUUAGUGGCAUUUUCUGUUGAAUUUUCACGGGAACUCAAUUUUGGUUGGGUUCCCAUUGAAUUUUUGUUGUUUUAGGUUAAAGAAGUUUCCACUUCCAUGACAGCAAGGAUGUGUAUAAAGACUCACAACAUCAAGGGUCUGCCUCCUUACGGCUGAGAGUGUUGGGUUCAUGUUGUUAUUGGCGGGUAAGACUGAUUCAGGCAAUGGAAAUCCUUUUCUCUUUAAUAGAGUGGUAGGUUUUACUUGUCUUUGGAGACUGUCUUGUAUGAGGCAUAGAUUUUCAACAGUUUUCUCCGCUUUUUAUAGUUGGACCAGUUUGGUUUUGUUUCUAGUUCGUGGCUGCUACAUUGCUAUAUAGGCAGGUCUCCUAUGCCUACCCAGGUCUACAAUAUAGCUCAACCGGUGUCUUUAUGUAAUGAUGAUAACUUUAAAAAGUUUCUUUAGUAACAAAGAUUGAUUGCAACAAGUGAAAAAGUCUCAAAAAAAAUUGUCCCACCCAAUUACUGGACAAGGUAUUAGUGGCUUUUGCCACCCAACCCAUCACCAGAUAACAGUGACGAAAGGACACAUACACACCAUGAGACACCGUCCAAAAUUUCAUUAACAAUGGCAUCCCGCUCCAUGAUGCAAUAUAAAUCUAUGCUGCACUUGAAAUUCAGUGAAAUAGAUAAUUGAGUGGGAAAUCGAUCCGUCAGUGAAUGGUGAAAAGGGUAGAAUCUAGGAUUUGUUAGUGCUAAAUUUGGUCCACCAUGCAUUUUUGUUUUCUACUGACGCAUGGAAGCAUUGGGACCCCAAAAGCACUCUCACUGCCUGUUUAUUGUAUCCAUGCCAAUGCCUCUUUCCCAAAACGAGGAUCCUCCACCAGCAUUUUUUUUUCAAAUAUUCGGCUGUUCCAAAGAAAAUAGUAUUAUAUAUUUUCAUUGGAGUUCUUUUUCUUUUAAGUUACAAGUUACACAUUCGUUUUUGAUGGAUGUAAAUAUUUAUUUUUAUUACUAAUGCUUUUAUACUGUUUAUCUUGGUUACAACACUUCUUGAUGAACCACUCCAUAACAUGGGAUGCUCUUGAUAUGCAAUAGCGUGCAUAAUUCUGAAUUACUUAAAAAUGUUGUUGGAAAUACAUGCAACUAUGUAAAAGUUGUGUAACUAACCUUCAAAAGUUUGUUUUUGUUUUGUUCCGUCAUAUUCCAAGAUUUCCGCCGUCUUUUGUAGUAGUUGUGUGGUUUCUGAUUUGGGCUUGGUGCGCUGAUGGCUGACCUGUUUGGGGUGGCUCGAAUUUUCAGAUUCCUCCGGCGUCUCCCGGCUAGCGGUUGGUGAUGCUUGGCUCUUUCUCAAAACGUGCUUUAUUGUUUUUCUCCCUUUCUUGUAAACAAAGUUUCUAGUAAAAAUGAAAGCCAUUCGGUAAUGAAGAUCAUACGCACUAAUGUUUUUCAUUAGUGGAAAACAUUAAUGCUAACACCUAUGCGAAUGGUAAUGACCCCUCCUCUGUUUAUGCUUUUAGAAGAGUUGACCUCUUAUGUUUGGGAUCCUGGUUGUUUGGAGUCAUUGUUGUACUGUAUUUUGAUUGUGUUUAUUUUAUGAAGUGAACCUUUUUUUCA
rnacentral:lncRNA from 1 species